AGGGUUCUUAUAAGGCCACAUCCUGCAAUUUGGCGCUUAGUUCAUGGAAUGGCUGUUGUGUACCUUGUUGCCCUAACAUUUUUGCUUUUCCAGAAUCGUGAUGAUGCUAGGCAGUUUAUGAAAUAUCUCCAUCCUGCUCUGGGAGUUGAAUUACCUGAAAGAUCAUAUGGAGCUGAUUGCCGUAUUUAUGUCCCAGAGAAUCCA